AUUUACCAGAACUGGGGCUAUUUAUACCGGAAAACCCAUAUAUUAAAGCCCAAGGGCUGACCAAUCGGAAGCUAUAGGAUCGGUAUAUGGACAGCGGAAGUCGUCGGCCAAUAGAAAUCGUACAAAUCAAGUGACAAUACCAAAAACAGGGGAAGUAACUGCUUAUGGACACCGGAUGCUAGGCAACCAGGAUAAUUGUACUGGAUUGACCAAAACAGAAGCACUAUACGGACUAUAGAAUAGAUAAGUUCCUAUAUACGAAAUGGGGACGAAUACCCUAUAUAUUGGUAUCUCAUGGGUAGAAAGUGCAGUUUUUUUUUUGGAAUUUUACAUAUGUGAAAUAUGGAUUCAUUAUAUAAAAUUGGCUCCUCUAUACCCCCACCCAAAAGGUAUGGGAUAUCUAUGUACUACAUAUGUACACCCACAAAUUGUAUAGUCAUUUCCCAUACGCGCGGUGGGGCUGGGAAAUAAAUUUUAAGUUCGACAUUAGACUAAUAACCAGGCGUUCCAAACGGGCACAAGAACUGCAGUUUUCUUGCAGCUAUAUGCAUUUUCGAUGGAACUUCAGCUGAUGUUUUCACAUUAUGCAUAUUUCAAAGGGAUCAUCAAAGGAGUAAGGUAGCGAAGUUGAGGCGAAAAGAGGCGGAACCCGUUUGUCUAAGAUAGCAAAUCGUUUAACUAUUGAUAGAGCAAUCGCCAUAUACACCCCCUCGGCUAAAUGCCUGUGAAAUGCAACAAAUUGCGCUGACCUGGACAAAUAUCAUUAGGGGCGACCCACCAUAUCGCGAACGACGAUGACGUGGCAUUAUACCAAAGGUUCCUCUGACGGACAUGCAUUAUUCAGGCAAAUUGCAAUAAUUUUAAAACUCCGCAGUCCUUCCAAGAUGAACUCCCCAAGACAUACAAGUGCCACACUAAGAACGGGGCCACCCCAUCUAAAAACUUAUGGAACUCUGGGAGUAUUAACAGCCGUUCCCAACGGGUUGGUAAACUAAUUAUAGGGUAAUGUCUGUGACAGAGCUCCCAGUCAAAUAAAAAUUGGAAACCCUUAUAAUCGAGCAGCAAUUUAAGAGUGGAAAUGGACUCGAGAUUGCUUCCGUCCUUAUCAGCACCUUUUGAUUGCAGUUUGUUUGUGGUCGGACGAUGGGAGAACUUUUCCAGCCGCAAUUUUUACAGCUUCCUAGGAGAAAGGACUGCAAGUGGGGCACAGGGAACAAGAGAGAAAAAUAAGGGGAAGGAGGAGAAAGUUAGCAGGCUGCUUGCAUUCCUGAAAGUGACAUAAAUGACAGCUUUUGACAGCGCACACGCGUCUGACCAACCACUUCCCUCGCCAGCCUAAGGCCCACCCACUGCCGUACCGGGCCACCCGCCCAGGAACCCCAACAACAACAAAGGACAAUAAUUUAAGUUGCUCGGCCAGGUGGGCUGGCUGACCACAAAAACGCAAACACAACACAACACAACCACUGUGGCAGGAAAAAAUAAAUUGAAGGCAAAAGGGGAACAGUUGGAGAGUUUAUGUCCAGCGAGACGCGGCAAGCCACAUGAAAACGCGGUUUGUGGCUACCCACCAAAAGCGAAAAAAAACAGGAAGGAAAGCUCACUUUGGCCUGCCGAAGUUUGAAUACGCUCGCUGAUACAACAAACUUUGUAAUAGCCAUUGCAGAUACAGUAUUUUCCUAAGUUACAUUGAUUGAAACCCCUAUCAAAUGCCUACCUAAAGUUGGCUAAUUUUC